UGAAAUACGAGAGCAGUAUCGUCAGCAU
rnacentral:piRNA from 1 species